GUUAUCUAAAGUUCAAUUUCAUCCUCGAAAUGUCAUACCAAAUCAAAUCUGCAGCUUUCGUUCUCUGAGCCUUAAGUCCUCAAAUUGAAGGGAGUAACUAAAAAUGAGUCUGCAUACUCAUUAUUUGAGAUACUCAAGGUCCAUUUAUGUUGAAGUGAAGAAAUUGUGGAUUUGUUAUACUACAACUAAGGUGGGAAACAACAUUGCGUACACUUACCCUCUCCAGACCCCACUUUGUGCCACUAUACAUGGUCCUGAUGUUUUCGUGAAGACCACGAAUAAAGGAGACUGAUAAUGACUAGCGAGGCUAUCCCUUGAA